UCACAGAAAAGGAAAAAAAAGGGGAUGAAGACCCUUGAAGCCAAAAAAAACCGAACCCUAAAGAUUCGACGAAAGCCAUUUUUUCCGUAUAUUUUAUCUCAGGAUCGGAAUGAUGUAGCAAUUGAAGCGAUGAUGUGUUUACAUCAGAAGCCCAAAAUGGUGGAACCAGGUGGGUUACGAAGUCGAAUUGGGAUUUCAACGAAGCUAACAUUUGGAGCCGUUGAAGGAAGUUUUUUCUGCUAUGAUUCAGCAUUGGUGGUUUAAAUUGAAGCCCUUUUACUAUCAGCACAUUCCAAACCGAUGACAGUGAAGGUACAACCUUUUGAACCAGAACAUUGUUGAACCAUCGUUUCUCGUCAUUUGCACUAAGAAACAGACUGCAACUGCACGUGUGGACGAUACAUAUUAUCAACCCGCUCAACUAAACCCACCGCUGCGCUUUAACAAUGGAGAUCCUGAAGAUGAGAACCGAGGCAAACCAAUUGGUAAGGCUUCGUUCGUUCGGGACCUUGUCUUAUCUCACGGCUUAAACUGCAAUAAUCUGCCAUUGGGUUUUGUAAUCUUGAUACUUCUUUACUUUUAUAACUUCGUCGUUGACUUGUGCAAUUUCAAUGUAGUUGUUUGUUGUAAUCCUUGCUGUGAGAGGUAGCAUGUAUUAGAUUGUAAGAGAAAACAUACAAUUUCAUAUACAUAUAUAUAUAUUCACGCA